GGGUUGUGAGGUUAAGCGACUAAGCGUACACGGUGGAUGCCCUGGCAGUCAGAGGCGAUGAAGGGCGUGCUAAUCUGCGAUAAGCGCCGGUAAGGUGAUAUGAACCGUUAUAACCGGCGAUACCCGAAUGGGGAAACCCAGUGUGAUUCGUCACACUAUCAUUAACUGAAUCCAUAGGUUAAUGAGGCGAACCGGGGGAACUGAAACAUCUAAGUACCCCGAGGAAAAGAAAUCAACCGAGAUUCCCCCAGUAGCGGCGAGCGAACGGGGAGGAGCCCAGAGCCUGAAUCAGCAUGUGUGUUAGUGGAAGCGUCUGGAAAGGCGCGCGAUACAGGGUGACAGCCCCGUACACAAAAGCGCAUGUGCUGUGAGCUCGAUGAGUAGGGCGGGACACGUGGUAUCCUGUCUGAAUAUGGGGGGACCAUCCUCCAAGGCUAAAUACUCCUGACUGACCGAUAGUGAACCAGUACCGUGAGGGAAAGGCGAAAAGAACCCCGGCGAGGGGAGUGAAAAAGAACCUGAAACCGUGUACGUACAAGCAGUGGGAGCACCCUUUUGGGUGUGACUGCGUACCUUUUGUAUAAUGGGUCAGCGACUUAUAUUCUGUAGCAAGGUUAACCGAAUAGGGGAGCCGCAGGGAAACCGAGUCUUAACCGGGCGUUAAGUUGCAGGGUAUAGACCCGAAACCCGGUGAUCUAGCCAUGGGCAGGUUGAAGGUUGGGUAACACUAACUGGAGGACCGAACCGACUAAUGUUGAAAAAUUAGCGGAUGACCUGUGGCUGGGGGUGAAAGGCCAAUCAAACCGGGAGAUAGCUGGUUCUCCCCGAAAGCUAUUUAGGUAGCGCCUCGUGAAUUCAUCUCCGGGGGUAGAGCACUGUUUCGGCUAGGGGGCCAUCCCGGCUUACCAACCCGAUGCAAACUGCGAAUACCGGAGAAUGUUAUCACGGGAGACACACGGCGGGUGCUAACGUCCGUCGUGAAGAGGGAAACAACCCAGACCGCCAGCUAAGGUCCCAAAGUCAUGGUUAAGUGGGAAACGAUGUGGGAAGGCCCAGACAGCCAGGAUGUUGGCUUAGAAGCAGCCAUCAUUUAAAGAAAGCGUAAUAGCUCACUGGUCGAGUCGGCCUGCGCGGAAGAUGUAACGGGGCUAAACCAUGCACCGAAGCUGCGGCAGCGACACUGUGUGUUGUUGGGUAGGGGAGCGUUCUGUAAGCCUGCGAAGGUGGCCUGUGAGGGUUGCUGGAGGUAUCAGAAGUGCGAAUGCUGACAUAAGUAACGAUAAAGCGGGUGAAAAGCCCGCUCGCCGGAAGACCAAGGGUUCCUGUCCAACGUUAAUCGGGGCAGGGUGAGUCGACCCCUAAGGCGAGGCCGAAAGGCGUAGUCGAUGGGAAACGGGUUAAUAUUCCCGUACUUGGUGUUACUGCGAAGGGGGGACGGAGAAGGCUAUGUUGGCCGGGCGACGGUUGUCCCGGUUUAAGCGUGUAGGUGUGUGUUCCAGGUAAAUCCGGUUCACUUUAACACUGAGGCGUGAUGACGAGGCACUACGGUGCUGAAGCAACAAAUGCCCUGCUUCCAGGAAAAGCCUCUAAGCAUCAGGUAACAUCAAAUCGUACCCCAAACCGACACAGGUGGUCAGGUAGAGAAUACCAAGGCGCUUGAGAGAACUCGGGUGAAGGAACUAGGCAAAAUGGUGCCGUAACUUCGGGAGAAGGCACGCUGACACGUAGGUGAAGUGAUUUACUCAUGGAGCUGAAGUCAGUCGAAGAUACCAGCUGGCUGCAACUGUUUAUUAAAAACACAGCACUGUGCAAACACGAAAGUGGACGUAUACGGUGUGACGCCUGCCCGGUGCCGGAAGGUUAAUUGAUGGGGUCAGCGCAAGCGAAGCUCCUGAUCGAAGCCCCGGUAAACGGCGGCCGUAACUAUAACGGUCCUAAGGUAGCGAAAUUCCUUGUCGGGUAAGUUCCGACCUGCACGAAUGGCGUAAUGAUGGCCAGGCUGUCUCCACCCGAGACUCAGUGAAAUUGAACUCGCUGUGAAGAUGCAGUGUACCCGCGGCAAGACGGAAAGACCCCGUGAACCUUUACUAUAGCUUGACACUGAACAUUGAGCCUUGAUGUGUAGGAUAGGUGGGAGGCUUUGAAGUGUGGACGCCAGUCUGCAUGGAGCCGACCUUGAAAUACCACCCUUUAAUGUUUGAUGUUCUAACGUGGACCCGUUACCCGGGUUGCGGACAGUGUCUGGUGGGUAGUUUGACUGGGGCGGUCUCCUCCUAAAGAGUAACGGAGGAGCACGAAGGUUGGCUAAUCCUGGUCGGACAUCAGGAGGUUAGUGCAAUGGCAUAAGCCAGCUUGACUGCGAGCGUGACGGCGCGAGCAGGUGCGAAAGCAGGUCAUAGUGAUCCGGUGGUUCUGAAUGGAAGGGCCAUCGCUCAACGGAUAAAAGGUACUCCGGGGAUAACAGGCUGAUACCGCCCAAGAGUUCAUAUCGACGGCGGUGUUUGGCACCUCGAUGUCGGCUCAUCACAUCCUGGGGCUGAAGUAGGUCCCAAGGGUAUGGCUGUUCGCCAUUUAAAGUGGUACGCGAGCUGGGUUUAGAACGUCGUGAGACAGUUCGGUCCCUAUCUGCCGUGGGCGCUGGAGAACUGAGGGGGGCUGCUCCUAGUACGAGAGGACCGGAGUGGACGCAUCACUGGUGUUCGGGUUGUCAUGCCAAUGGCACUGCCCGGUAGCUAAAUGCGGAAGAGAUAAGUGCUGAAAGCAUCUAAGCACGAAACUUGCCCCGAGAUGAGUUCUCCCUGAGACUUAGAGUCUCCUGAAGGAACGUUGAAGACGACGACGUUGAUAGGCCGGGUGUGUAAGCGCAGCGAUGCGUUGAGCUAACCGGUACUAAUGAACCGUGAGGCUUAACCUUACAACGCCGAAG
rnacentral:rRNA from 1 species